rnacentral:rRNA from 1 species
AGCAGCCGCGGUAAUUCCAGCUCCAAUAGCGUAUAUUAAAGUUGUUGCAGUUAAAAAGCUCGUAGUUGAAUUUCGGGAUCAAUAUGUUUGGUCGUGCCUCGGUACGUACUAGCUUAUUGGUUUCUCCUUUCUGAAGAACCAUGAUGUCAUUCAUUUGGUGUCGUGGGGAAUCAGGACUGUUACUUUGAAAAAAUUAGAGUGUUUAAAGCAGGCUCACGCUUGAAUACAUUAGCAUGGAAUAAUGAAAUAGGACGUUUGAUUCUAUUUUGUUGGUUUCUAGGAUCGACGUAAUGAUUAAUAGGGAUAGUUGGGGGCAUUAGUAUUCAAUUGUCAGAGGUGAAAUUCUUGGAUUUAUUGAAGACUAACUACUGCGAAAGCAUUUGCCAAGGAUGUUUUCAUUAAUCAAGAACGAAAGUUAGGGGAUCGAAGACGAUCAGAUACCGUCGUAGUCUUAACCAUAAACUAUGCCGACUAGGGAUCGGAUGAUGUUAAUUUUUAAUGA